GCGCGCCGCAGCCCCCGCCCCGGCCCCGCGCGCGCCCCGACUCCCUAGCGCGCGCCGCCGCCCUGUUGCUUCCGCCUCCCUGCGGGGCGGGAGGGCGCUGUCAUCGCCCCCGCGUGGCUUGUCCGGUGCCGGUUCUCCCCGCAGCUGAUUCCUCCCCGUUCACUCCUGUUCUAAAAAGGAAGCCUGGCUGUGGGCCUAGGAGGCGAUGGCGGGUGCGGUGGGCCUGGGUCCCUGGGCCUGUGGGUCACACCUCCUGCCUGGGGGUGGACAGAAGACACAGGAUCCUCAGGUGGCUACAGGAUGACUGUAGAACCAGAGACUAGGGAUCUGCAGUGGCCGAUCAGGAGUACCAGACCCGGGGAUUAGGGAUGUAUUUGAGACCAUUGUGACAGGGAUUGGAGAAGAUCUGGCAUUGCUACGGUUUGGAUUAGACACGGAUGACACCAGCGCCAGUGACUAAACAGACCUCCUGAGACACCACGGUCUUGCUGUCCACCUGAGUUCUACCCAAGUGUCUCACCAUGUAACACCAGCUACAGACACCCAGCCAACCUCAGGGCAAAGUGUUUUCUCUCUGGCCUUCCUGGACUUGCUGUGUGAGCCUGGUUAGGUUGAUGGCCGGCUCUCAGUGAUACUCCUAGCUGUGGUGUAGAUUGUUGAGGCCUCUGUGUCUAGGGUCUAGCAGCUGGCCUCUGCGUUGUGGCCAUAGUCCUGUGGCCCUCACUGUGCUGUUCAUGCAUGUGUCUCUGGUGAUGCUAUCUCUUUCCUACGGUGACUCCGUACUGCUGGGCUAAAUUGUAAGCUUCUAGUGGCCAAUUACAAUUACAGUGGGUAUUCCUGGCACAGACCUGUCUCGGGAUAAAGCCUUCCUGUCAUUAGAGAAUGUUCUACUCGGAGGCAUGUUUUAUUCUUUCCUUCCUUUUUCCUUGUUUGGAUUUUUGGGACAGAAUCUUCAUCCUAGGCUGUCCUCAAACUCCAUGCAAACUUCCUGCCUCAUCCUCUGAAGUGUUGGGAGUACAGUGAGCCCUCAUGUCUAUCUUAUUCCUCAUACAGAGCAACGCACUUUCCUAGUGGUGCUGCAGGAGUGAGGGACUUCAUCCUCUGAGCCUUCACCCUUUGUGGCUCCCUCCAGCUGGCACUAUUCAUUCUAGCGAGUGAGUGUCUGACUUGCUAAUGAAUACUGAGAGGAACAUGCUGGAUGUUUAGUGAAGGUUUCCUUGCUCUUAAGAAAGGACGUGGCUUCCCUUUUAAGAAUGGAUGCCGUUGUCUGGAGGGGAUGCCUACUGCUUUGCUCCCUUCAGACACCAGAGGACCAGAGGUGGUAGCCAGAGGAAAGUGUUUAUGCUGGGGACAGAAGCAUGAUUCUGGUGAGAAGAUCCUGAAGUGUCAUAGACCCAUUAACCCACCCUAAACAAAGACUUGGUAAACAGUCAAUGCAAUACCAAGUUGAGUUGGGUUUUCUAUUACCAACAGACGUCAGCAUUUUAACUUGGAACCCACGAAAAAGAAGUUAGGACGUGGUUAAAAUAACAGAAACUCCAACUCAUUCUGGGAACCUGUUAGUCAUUGCUGUGUAACAAGCCACUACCCAUGCAGGAGGUGCUGAAGCAGGGGAGGGGGGGGGAAGCCAGUGCUGGCCAGUUCUCCCGGGCUUGGCAGGUUGUUCUGCCCUCCCUGGUGUUGGCUGGGAAUCUCAAAGCUACUGUAUUUUUUUGGAGGCUCUGCCAAGGUAGGAAUGUCACCAUAGCUCCAGUCACAUGUGCAGUGUCCCUGAGAUGGGAACUGGGGUUGGGAGAGCAGGCUAUUCUUUUCAGAUGGCUUCUUACAAGUCAGUGAGCUAGCCUGGGCUUCUUCACACAGCAGUUGGGUUUCUCAAGAGACAAAAUGAACAUUACAGAACCACUAAAGGCUGCGUUUAGAGGCCCCAAAGUGUUCCCUCUGCCACACUGUUCUGGAGAGAGAUCAUAUGCCCUCUGCCUCCCUCCACAAGGAGCACGAAUAAGCCAUAUUUCCACGAGAGCCUCUGGCCAACACUGCUGCUCUGCUCCAACCAACAGGAGGACAUCUUGUUUCCUGUGCCCCGUACAAUCCCUUCCAACUCCCUGACCGUUUGUCCGAAUUCUUCUUCUUCAGAAUAAACUCUCAUUUGAUCAUC